UGCCAUACUGUGAAAUCCUAAUCCGACUG
rnacentral:piRNA from 1 species